AUGUGCUUCGUCGACCUGUGGCAGGGCAUCUUUCAAUGCAAUGUGCUCGACAGCACCCCAUUGCUCCACUACUAUCCGAUGCCGCCGCCCCUCGAACCCAACCCUGUCACGAGGGUCCAAACUAGCCCACAGGCUUCCCGCAACGUCGCCGUCAUUGACCGAGGCCGCCGCAUCAAGUACGUCCAGCUGCAUCUGCAGGUCACCAUGCACCGACACGGCGGCGUAUGGGGCCGCGUUGUGCCCUCAUACGAUGGCUGGAAGGCAGCCACAUGGAGCAUGGACACUGCUGAUCCUUCUUCUGCAGGCUGGCGCCAGGACAGCGAGGUGGUUCAUGCAUCCGAGGCUGGCAGCACCAUAGACCCGGUGCUUCUCCAACUGCCGCCACAUGAGUUCAACGACGACCAAGGCCUGCCUCUCCCGCAGACCUUUGAGAACCACUACACGAGCCUGCCCGUGAUCAGCUUGCACGACGACGGCAAGGACGUCGUCUACUUCAUGACCAAGGUCAAUUAUUAUCAUAAGGCCGCGUUGGUGAUUGCGGUUGACAUGUCCAACAAGACAGCACGACAAGGCAUGCAGUUCCUCCCAGGGAAAUUAACGGAGAGCGCCUUUGUACACAGCAGGAUCUCCAAAUUUCUCAGUAUGGCUCCAGCUCUAGCUCCAAGACUCAAUUGCAAGAGGAAACCUGAAACGACCUUGGAUGAUGACACUAAUGGAAUGGAUGUACCGAUGAAUGAUACUGUGAUGAUGUAA
rnacentral:rRNA from 1 species